CGGGAAGUAGCUCGGUAGAGCACUUGGUUUGGGACCAAGGGGUCGCAGGUUCGAAUCCUGUCUUCCCGA
rnacentral:tRNA from 1 species